CCGCCCGGGACACGUCUGCGGGGCGGGGGCGGGGCGCAGAGACAGAGUCAGAGACUCGGAUAAGCACGGAGCGAUGCGGCCAGAAACCGAGCAUCACCCUCCAGUCAAGCUCCCCAGUACCUUCCGCGGAUUUUGUCCGGGCUUCGUGUAACUUGCCUGUGCCACGCUAGCCCCAAACCCUGCUCUUCACGGCCAAUUCCAGAAGCGCAGGAAAUGUCCAGCUCCUAGGCAUCCCAAGGGCUGAAAUGGAGGACAGCCGUUCUAGGCAUCGAUUCUGGAGUCUGCUACACUCAUACUUGCAGCUGUGGUCUCGAGCCCCUCUGGGGUUCUGUGAGACUCACUGGCUUCAUUCUCAAGGGGUCACCAGCCUGACGUGUCCUCACCCUCUGGAAAUGGCCGCAAUCUCAACUGCUGAUGGAAGCUCUCCUGGACUCUUGUUAAUCCUCCACUGACACUGGCAGUCAAAAUUAAAAAUAC